CUGUCUCGGUCCCUGCCUCCGUCCCUGCCUCCGUCCCUGCCUCCGUCUCUCUCUCCCCAGCCCGCUCGCCCUCGCACCUUACACAACGGCGAGUGGAGCCACGAGCGACGGAUUGGCCGCUUGGAACUCGGCGCUAGGCUGCGGGGCCUUAGGCGCGCACAGGUUGGCAAAGAACAAGGAUGGGUCAGGCUGGGAGAGAACUGAGAGGUCUGGAUGACCUGGGAUUCCCAGAAUGAGGUGGCUGAGGCCUCUGUGACCUCACAAUUGAACCCUGCCCUAGUAAUGCCUGGGUCUUACCUGAGGACAAGCCAGAGUCCAGAAGGAGGGCUUGAACCACAGCAAGUGCAUGUGACUGGGUGACAGCUGCUGAGGCAGAGCCAGCACCUGCCUUGGAACUCCAGUUUGCAAAUGACAAUAGGAAGAAGCUCUGCUGUUAUACAGAUAUCCAGAGUGAUAUUCUCAUAAGUCAUUGACUGUUUCAAGACAGGACCAGAAAUGCUGAAAAUAGACCAAGAUUUAGUCAAAGAUUUGGGCAAGCAUCGACUGGAAAGGAUUGACUACAUCCACCCUAAUGAUAAACAGGAGAUUUGUUAUCUUGGAGGACCCAGGAGCAGAAGCUAUGGCUGUCAGGAUAUCUGGGCCACAGGAGAGAAACAAUCUGGGCAGACACUGGCAUGAUGGGUGUGUGGGCCGCACCCAGGAGUCAUUGUGUGCCCAACUGCUACCUGGUCUUCAAGAGAUCCAGGACAAGAUGGUCUCAUGUGUGUUAACACCAACAAUUCAGAGGAAACUGGAACCACCACAAGGACCAGCAUAAGCUUCAAGACUCUGCUCCAAACCCUCAUAUUCUGAGUUACCUAGCAACUCUGUUGACCUUCAGCUAAACUUGGCCACUCCGUUGACGUUGACCUUCAAUUUGAUAUGAUUAAAAACAUCAAGUAACUUAACAAUGUGAUGACCCUGGAGUACAGACACAAUUUUAAUGUGGAUGUCUAGUAGAAAACACUGAAAUCCACACUCUGGUGGAAACUAGACGUAGAUUCUUAUGUUUUCAUAGUGUCACCAGAGCCUACCUAGAAGAAGCAAGACUUAUACCCUGAUUUCUAUAGAUCUCUACCUUUAUCUUAUGUACCUAACACAGUGUCAUCUUACAAUAUUCUUUGUCAACUAUUUCCUGCCCUACCAUUAUGUAUAUAGUCUUCAAUAAAUAUAAGGUUUCAUUGUG